rnacentral:sRNA from 1 species
ACUCCUUUAUUAAACAUAUUCAUACUAUUAUUCAAAUUAGAUAUACUAAAAUAUAAUUAAUUGCAUAUAUAUAUAUAUAUAUAUAUAUAUAUAGUUGUAAGAAUUUAUAAAUAAGCUAUGAAUAAGAAGAGUAGACGUAAAUUUACCUUAAUGUAUUUCUUCGAUUCUUUCACUAAUCUCUUAUGCAUUUUCAACUUUGGAACAUGUAAAAAAUGAUGUGUAUUCAUCCACAUAAAUAGAAAAAUACAAGAGAGAUUUGCAAAACUGCCCUUAUUCUAAUAACUUUUUGUAAAAAUGCCCUUUUCUGAAGGCCAUUUUUAAAACUACCCCUUCUAAUAUGGCAAAUGACUGUCUUACCCUUACUGAAUGAUUAGGUUUCACAUUCGUUUCACAAUCAAAUUCGUUUUGGCACAAACUUCUUCGUUUUGGCCAACGAAUUUUUCUCUCCGAUUUCACUCAAAAUCGCCGACGAAUUUCCUCUCCGAUUUCACUCAAAAUCGCCAACGAAUUUUCUCUCCGAGAAACCCCAAAAUCGCCGACGAAUUUCCUCUCCGAUAAACCUGUUCUUCGCUGAUUGAUUCAGAUCAUUUCUCUACGACGCAAACAAUCCCCAGAGAUAUCGAUAGAUCCGACGGUAACCGUUUUUAUAAUCGAUUUUAUAGUCGAUUUUAUAGUCGAUUUUAUAGUAGAUCUGACGAUGUUUCAUAACAUGUUUUGCAGAUGGAUUCAGAGAGUGAAAUCCUUACAUUGCCUGAACAGAUCUACAGAGAAGGUGAUGAAUCUAUUGCACUGGGAACCGUUCAACAAUACUCGGAUUGGAAUUUAGUUAGUAAAGUAGAGGAAGCUUUAGGCGAGUGUUUAUUUCAGAAGAUUAGAAGUUCGUUUCUUGGUCCUGUAGUUGAAUUGGGACCAAAAAUGAAGGCUAAGAAGGGAAUCAGAUUUUCUGGGAAAAUCUUUCACUAUCUCAUGCAGCAGAGAGUGAAAACAAAAGGAUCAACUCUUUGGUUUAGAGUUGAUUCUCAACCUAUCCAUUUCUCCUUGAGAGAGUUCUAUCUCACAACAGGUAAUAAAGUUUUACAAUCAUUUUUAAAGCUUAAUUAACUGUCGUAGAAUAAUUUACAAGGCAUUUGCAUAACUGUUUGCGUAGCUUACAAUUGUUUUUAAAACAUAAGUAAGUGUCAUAGAUAAUUUACAAGGGAUUUUAAAAGCUUUUAAAACGGGUUUACUUUAUUAACAAUCGUUUAAGAAGCAUAAGUUAGUGGCAGAUAAUGAUUUACAAGGGAUCCUGUAAAAGAACCAUACUUUUGGGCUAGUAAAGGAUCCUAUACUCUUGGUGAUCUCGAAGAUCGAUUGUUUUUAAAACCUAAGGAAGGUGAACCUGCUGUUGAAGAUGAAGAAAAGUUGUGUCUUGCUGCAGUAGUGUUGACUGAAGGAAUUCUUUUGACACCAUAUGGAAAAGAGAAGAUACCUUUGCCAAGAUUGCAGCAUGCUUCCGAUUUUGAGAUGUACACAGCCCAACCGUGGGGUAAAGAAGCAUUCAGUGUUCUAUCAAAUUCAAUUCUGAGAAUGGACGAGAAAACUUGGGCAAAAGAGAAAUAUGAUUUGAGAGGAUUUGGACUCGCGCUAACAAUAUGGGUGUUGAGCGCAGUUCCAGCAUUUGGUGCAACAUAUGGAGUUAAAGAUAAGGAAUUCCAAUCUGAAUCUCCAUUGAUAUUGAAGUGGAAAAGCACUACUACUCCAGAGUUUUUCAAGGUCGUAAACCUUGUAAAUGAUGUUUCUGAGGUAAGCUUUUGUCUAUUUACAGAAUUCUUAAAAUGGUUUUUAGAUUUGAAGUUCUGCUUUCUCAAGAUUUGUAAUGUUAUUGUAUCUUCGCAGAUGGAGGUGAAUACAAUUAUUGGAAACUCAGAAGAAUUCAAGUCUUUAGUUCCUGAUUUCCACACAGACGAAACAGAAUUCCAACAUAUUUUGGGACUUGUUAAUAUGGGCUGCAGAUUGAAGAAAACUGAAUGGAAUACAAGAUGCGUUGAUGUUUGUGCUGCCCUUGAAGAAGUAGGUCAAAACAAAAUCAAUAACAAAAUAUCUGAUAGCGAGAAGCUUGACAGGAUUUUGACAAUCUUU